rnacentral:lncRNA from 1 species
GUGGAGUCACAGGGGGGAGGGACACAAACGAGUUCUAUUGAAAGUAAUUCAACCCAAUCUGUGUGUUUGUAUGUGCAUGGUAGAGAACACCUUGUUAAGGGAAUAGUCAGGUAUAUUAUUGUGUAUCAUGAUAGAGAACACCUUGAUAAUGUAACAGUCAGGUAUAUUAUUGUAUAUCAUGGUAGAGAGAACAGUCAGGUAUAUUAUUGUGUAUCAUGGUAGAGAACACCUUGAUAAGGGAACUGUCACGGCAUUCGUCGGUAGAAAUGGACCAAAACGCAGCAGGUAAGUGCAGGCUCAUCUUGACGUUUAUUUAUUUUCAAAAUGAAUACCAAAAUAACAAACACUAGAACGAACAACAACAAACAGUCUGGCAAAGCAUAAGGCUCAACACAGAACAAUCACCCACAAAUAACAAACACACCCUAAUAUAUGGGACUCUCAAUCAAAGGCAGAUAGACAACACCUGCCUUCAACUGAGAGUCCCAACCCCAAUUAACCAAACAUAGAAACAGACAUACUAGACUAAACAUAGAAUACCUGAAAACCAAACAGUGCCCAAAAACCACAGAAUACUUAAACCAAAUGCCCCUUCAACAAAACACACCACCCCGAACCACAUAAAACGAAUACCCUCUGCCACGUCCUGACCAAACUACAAUACCAAUUAACCUUAUACUGGCCAGGACGUGACAGGAACAGUCAGGUAUAUUAUUGUGUAUCAUGGUAGAGAACACCUUGAUAAGGGAACAGUCAGGUAUAUUAUUGUGUAUCAUGGUAGAGGGAACAGUCAGGUAUAUUAUUGUGUAUCAUGGUAGAGAACACCUUGAUAAGGGAACAGUCAGGUAUAUUAUUGUGUAUCAUGGUAGAGGGAACAGUUAGUUAUAUUAUUGUGUAUCGUGGUAGAGGGAACAGUCAGGUAUAUUAUUGUGUAUCAUGGUAGAGAGAACAGUCAGGUAUAUUAUUGUGUAUCAUGGUAGAGAACACCUUGAUAAGGGAACAGUCAGGUAUAUUAUUGUGUAUCAUGGUAGAGGGAACAGUCAGGUAUAUUAUUGUGUAUCAUGGUAGAGAACACCUUGAUAAGGGAACAGUCAGGUAUAUUAUUGUGUAUCAUGGUAGAGGGAAC